rnacentral:lncRNA from 1 species
GUUAACCUUAUGAAGAAAAUAGCAUGUUGUUGGCCAGACUAGGCCUUCCAUUGAAAUCAUGAGUCAAAAGAGAAAAUUAUCAAUUUACCCCACAGAGCCAAUUUUUGUAUAACAGUUUUCAUGACCCUACUGUGUGACUGUUUACUGAUGUCCACUUUUCAAUAAACUGCUACCUGAACAGCAAAAACAGUUUAGAACAAAAUAUUGACAAUUGAGGAACAAUCAUACACAGCAUACAGAGUGCAGAAUGGAAGAAGAGACUUCUAGAGAAUCAAAGGCGGUACAGGUUUCCAAGUGGCAGAAUGAUGUGACUUAGAAACAGCAUCAUAUUUCAUAAUGCAGAAUCAGCAGACAUGUAUAGGUGGAAUAGUGAAAUGGUCUGAAUAAUUUUAAUUGCAAACAUGAACACAAUAAAGUCUUCCAGUGGGGAAAAACAAGAUGCUGGAUGAAUAAUGAAUGAAAAUGAAAAACAGGAAAAAAUUAAAUGACAAAAUUAUUUGCAUAUUCCAGGGUUUUAUAACUUGGUCACAUGGUCAAUGGAAAACACAACAGAUCAAAUAUAUAUCCACAUUUGACCACCAUUACAUGUUUCAACAUCAUGGUUAACAAAAAGACGUAAUUAUUCCAGUGAAAUCAACAGUCCAGAAGCAGCCUAGCCCUUCUAAAUGAUCUCUAAACGCUUCCACCAGAGCAAAAUUGUAUAUUUAAACCACAAGACCAGUGCAGUUGAGCUAGUCUGGACCAGAAAUAGCACCGGCGCAUUCACAGUCUAUCUGUGGUCUACACAAAUCAACCCAAAAAAGAAAAAAAAGGAGUGUGUCCUAAAGUACAUCUGCUGCAACACACUGAAUGUAAACAUUUACAGACAUUUACAGCAAUCAACUUGCAUCUGUUUUGGAAAGGCCCUUCUUUAACUACAUUGUGUGAGAGUCACAGGUUUCUGCUUGUUGUUUGGCAGUAAUGUGUCUCAUGAGUGAUAUCUGGCCCACACUAGCUGACAAACUGCCUUUAGAACUUAAGAUCAAGCAGGUUCGGUUUCUUCAAGAAACUGUAUAAAAGGGCAAAUCUCACAAAAAAUGUAUCUACUGUAGGUUAAAAACAUCAUUUAUUAAAAUUAUUGUAAUAUAACUGCAUAUUUUAUUCAAUUAUAUUAAAU